rnacentral:lncRNA from 1 species
CCUGUGUGACCAUGUAGAAUAAAAAUAAAGUUACUGGGAGUUCAGGGUUGAUAAUAUCUCUGAUUUGUAUACUUCUGCAGAAGUCAGUCUCUUUCAAAAUAUGGGAACAGCGAGUUAAAAUAAACUGUCUUAUUGGCAGAACAGAGUGUGAUCAUGAGCUACCAUUCAGCUUUUAUGCUGAUUCAUCAGCUCACAGUGAAACGAGCUUGCAUGAGAGCAUCCCAGGAUCACUGAACAUUCAGAGGUAUGUCCUCGCAUCCUAAUUUUUUAAGGUAAAAUGACAUUUUCAUAGAAUAAGGAUACAGCUGGUAAAUAGCAAGACUAAAAUUACAUAUACACUAGCCUACAUUUAAGAAUAGCUUGGCUAAUUACUCCUAAGUCAUCGGUUUUUUGUUUGUCUUUGUUUUUUACUAUUUAUUUCCUUUGCUUUACAGCUUUAUUGAGGCAUAAUUAAUGUAAAUAAACCAUCCAUAUUUAAAGUGUAUUAUUGAUGAGUUUUGACAUAAUAUACUUCCAUGAAACCAUCUUCAGUCAAGAACAGCCAGUUGUAAGGGGUAAAAUAAACUGGAGAAGAGAACAUCUACAUGGAUUAAGUCCCAAGCUCACCCUUUGUUAGUGAAAAUGUAGUCACGUGGUCAUCCCUACUACAAGGUAGACUAGAACAUAUAAUCAAACUGGAUAGCCAUGAUAUUGCUGCGUUAACACAUAAGAAGGGGAGAUGAAUUUUGGAGGAUAGCUAGCGUUCUCCUCAUUUAACUCUCCCUUCUCAGAACUCAACUUUGUGUUCAGAUCUAGCACAGCAGUCAGCUCUGCUAAUCAGACAAGUAAGAGGGGAUGCUUAAAGGGGAAGGAUCCAUUUAAUAAACUUUUUGUCCAAAUAGACACGUUAUUUAAAUAAAAAUAAAUAAGUUAUUGGCUGGGCAUGGUGGCUCACGCCUGUAAUCCCAACACUUUGGGAGGCCGAGGUGGGUGGAUCACGAGGUCAGGAGAUCGAGACCAUCCUGGCUAACAUGUGAAACCCGGUCUCUACUAACAAUACAAAAAAAAUUAUCUGGGCAUGGUGGCAGGUGCCUGUAGUCCCAGCUACUUGGGAGGCUGAGGCAGAAGAAUGGCAUGAACCCAGGAGGUAGAGCUUGCAGUGAGCUGAGAUCGUGUCACUGCACUGCAGCCUGGGCAACUGAGCAAGACUCUGUCUCAAAAAAAAAAAAGUUAUUGUUAUUUGUCUUUGUUUAAAUAAGUUAUUAUGUGUACAAAUAAAGAGUCAGUAAAUCUGAUUCUUGCUUGGUGGUUUUCAUUAUUCCUUUAUGUAAAGUUGCAUGUUCAAUAGGUCUAUUAAUGAGACUUUCUCAAGUACAAUUUCCAUUUAGUACUCAUAUCAGGUAGGCAAUAGAGGCAUGCAAUGUAAUUCAUUCAUUAUUACUGUAAGUUUGGGGCAUAGACAGACCAGAUUUAAAUCUUGGUUUUGUCAUUUUCAAGCUUUGUGGCUUUGGUGAAUUACUUAACUUCUCUGAGCCUCAGGUUUUUGUAACCAUACAGUAUCUAUCUUUCAGAGUAUGGCAAAGAUUAAAUGAGAUAACAUUUGUAAAUACCUAGUACAGUGUCUGAGCACAGAGUUGGAGCCCAAAAAAUUGGGGAAAUACACACACACACACACACACACACACACACUCAUCUUGCUCUCUCGUUCUCUCACUGUUCUCCUUUCUUUGGAAUAUUGAGUAGUUCACAAUGUACACCUACAAGGUACAAGUACACCUUUUA